GUGGAGGCCUGGAAUGGCGACAGGUGGCCAAGGGAAUGGGCAGCUUGGGAGGGACUCUGAGCCAGUGGGUCCCUCCGCCUGCCUGGGGGGCUGCAUUUGAGGGACUGAGGCAGGAGUCCUGAUGAGAAGCGGGGGGCCAGAGCAUCUGCAGGAAGACUCGGUUGAGGCCAGCAGGCUGGGGUCAGCGAGCGGCCGUGGAGGGAGAGGUGAGGCCUGGGGGGUGAUGUCUGCGUGAAUGCCAUGGUGGGUCGUCUGAGCUGGAGACACGGGAGGGCAGCUGCGGGAGACGCGUGUGUCUCGGGCCUGUCGGUUUUUCCAGGGAGCAUCCUGGCUACACGUGGAGGUUGAGGCUGACUGGAGCCCUGGGCAGCAUGAGAUGGCUGGGGAGAGAACAGAACUCUGAAGGGGAGCCUGGAGGCGGAGGGACCACCCGGAGGGGUGCAAGGGGAGCAGGGACUGGCCUGAAGCUGGGGCUGUAGGAGCGAAGGGCCAGUGGGAGCGAGGGGCCAGCGGGAGCGAGGGGCCAGCGGGAGCGAGGGGCCAGCGCACGGUGGGGGGUGUGGCAUUCAGCCUGCUGUCAGCCCGGCAGCCGCCUGAGUCACCUCCGGAUGGAGCCAGGAUGACACAGCUUCCUCGAACCGCAAACACAAGGAGCCCGCUGUGUGGGUCAACCCCGCCGUGCAGCCAGCCGGAGGGGCGCUCAGCUUUGGUCACCUGUGAGAGGCCCGCAGCCCUGCAGAGCAGAGUCGGCCACAUCUGGGUGGCUUCUGGCUUCAGGGUUUGCACCUGUCAGGUGAAGCGGUUGCUGCUCUGCGGCCUGGAGUGGGAACCUGCUCCUCCAAGACGGAACCCCUCGGCUCCCCUCCUCCCUCUUCCCCACCCUGACAGCCUUGGGGACCUGGGAGGAUGGCAGUGGGAGGGGUACCCCACGCCUAGCAGUUGCUGGGAGGCUCCGGAGCGGCCGCCUCCGCUCUCUGCCCGCUGGAACAGGUGCCAGAGGUUCAGCUUCCUGCCCGCAUGCAGCUCACAGGCCAGAUGAGUGGGUGGGCCAGUCGUUAAGUCAGCAUUGGAGCCCUUUGAAACUCAAAAUCUUUUCUCCUACAUGAUGGCAACCUAGGAGAUUAUCCUUGGGUGGGGCCCUGGCUCCCAUCAGCUGCCUGGGCCUGGUGUUAUUGGUGGAGAAACCCCCAACCCGGGCCCAGCCCAGAGAGGGCCGGAGUGUGCUGGGGACGGCCAGGGCUGUGAGUUUCCCACACGAGCUAGUGCCAAGCAGUAGGCGUUUGCUGGGAGUUGGAAAGUAAAAAGGAACCCGAAGGCACCCGAGAUCCUGGCCUUGGACGCACCUGCUUCUGGAAG
rnacentral:lncRNA from 1 species